rnacentral:rRNA from 1 species
UUAUUUAAGGUCUAGUCUGCCCACUGAAUUAUUUUUAACGGCCGCAGUAUAUUAACUGUGCAAAGGUAGCAUAAUCAUUAGUUUUUUAAUUGAAAGCUUGUAUGAAAGGCUGGACGAGGUAAAUUCUGUCUCUAUUUAAAUUAGAUUAGAAUUUAAUUUUUAAGUUAAAAAGCUUAAAUUUUAUUAAAAGACGAGAAGACCCUAUAGAGCUUUAUAAUUUAUUAAAUAAGAUUAAUUUAGUUUUAUUAGUAUUUUAUUUAAUAAAUUAUUUUAUUGGGGUAAUAGAAAGAUUAAAUUAAUUCUUUUUUUUUAUAAACAUAGAUUUAUGAAUAUAAUGAUCCAAUUUUAUUGAUUAAAAGAUUAAGUUACCUUAGGGAUAACAGCGUAAUUUUUUUAGAGAGUUCAUAUCGAUAAAAAAGUUUGCGACCUCGAUGUUGGAUUAAAGAUUAUUUUAGGUGUAGAAGCUUAAAAAUUUUGGUC